GUGAAAGGUUUAGAUUCUCCCAUCCCCUAUCUAUAUAGACCUUCAAACAUCCAAUUUCAGAGGAAGAGAAAGAGAGGAAAGCCAAGGCGAAGAGAAGAGCAAGUCCUAAGGCUCUCUUUUUUCCUUGGUAACUUUACAAAAAGGAAGAAAUACACACACAAGUGUUAUAAAGGUUCUAUCUUGUAUUCUCUAGCUCCUAAAAAUCAUGGGUGAAGAACAGAAGGAAGAAGGGGAAAACAAGGAAGAGGUGAAAGAGGCAGAGAAGAAGGAAGAAGAGCCAUCAGAGAUUGUGCUAAAAGUUGAUAUGCACUGCGAGGGUUGUGCAAGAAAAGUGGAAAAAUCACUUAGAAAAUGCGAUGGUGUGGAGGAAGUGAAGAUAGAGAGCAAGCUUAGAAGGGCUGUGGUGAAGGGAAAGGAAGUUGACCCUUUCAAGCUGUGUGAGAGAGUCCAAAAGAAGACUGGAAGGAAAGCAGAGGUACUCUCACCGCUCCCAGAGCCUCCGCCUCCUGAAGAAGAGCAAAAGAAAGAAGCAGCACCCCUAGAAGAGAACAAGCAAGAGCCAAAGCCGAUUACGGUGGUCCUGAAGAUUAGAAUGCAUUGCGAGGCUUGUGCUCAGGUGUUACAAAAGCGGAUCAAGAAAAUGGAAGGUGUGGAAUCAGUUGUGACUGAUCUAUGGAACGAACAAGUUAUAGUCAAAGGCUUCAUAGACCCAGAGAACUUAGUUGACUUUAUCUACAGAAGAACCCGAAGGCGAGCCUCGAUAGUCAUCGACGAGAAGGAGGAGGAAGAACCAGAAAAGAAUGAAGAAGAGAAGAAAGAAGGAGAUGAAGGAGAAAAGGGCACGAAUGACGAUGCCAAGAAAAUGGAAUAUUGGCCUCCCAAAUAUUACCUAGAGAAGAGAAGUAGGUCUAGCAUGAAGUUUUCAGGAGUAGUUUCUUAAGGAGUAGUUUCUAGUUUUCAGGGUUUGGUGAUUUUGAUGGAUUCUUAGCUAAUUCAAGUAAGGAGUGCUUGUCUCAUCUCAAAGAACGAGUCACUAAAACGGCAGAAGAAAGGCUCUGAUGUAAGGUCAAGCGUGAUAUUGUGCUGAGAGUGCUUGUGCUUUGGUCUCACCUUUUUCGGUUCUCAUUGUCAUUUGAUAUAGCUUGCUGCUUUGUCGAAUGAUUGUAGCUUAUAUGUAAGGGUUAAUUGCAUAUACUCUCUGUGGUAUCGUUUUUAAAUUGCAACCCCUGUAGUGUACACUGUUGCAGAUGUGCCCUUGGGUUAAAAUUGUGACUGUUUUACCUUUGGACUUACUAAUUUCUAGCUGAAGUCAAACAAAAGGAUAUUGGAUUCGUUUGAUGUUA